rnacentral:lncRNA from 1 species
AAACAAACUUAUUUUUGCAACUUUAGUUUGGAAACUUCUUGAGACCUGACUUGGUAAACUUGAGGCGUACUAAUAACGACUCCUAGCAAUUCAAUUGAGUAUCUGGAUCCACAUAAUUAAAGUUUAAUUCAUCUCCAGAGAAUAUUCCAAAUAUAUAUGAUGAUAAACAUAUCGUCGAUCAGAGAGAGAGGAUUUGCAAAUAAAGUUUGCAUUAUUGUCAGUGUUAAUUUGUUCUCCAUGCUCUUUUUUAUAUUGGGGAGGCCAGGGGGAAUAUUAACAAUGGAUUAAUAAUCUCAAACAAAAAAUACAACUUAAAAAACCACUUGUUAUUAAUAUGGGUGCAUGAUGCCUAGCAGAAACUUGACCUUGAACAUCAAUCAAUCUAUAAUAAUAAUAUAAAAUAAAUAUUAUUUACACACAUCCCCUCCCGGUGUGCAAAUCACUAAAAUUAAUUAACAUAUGCUUCAUCAACUUUUGUUGUUUUUUCUUUUUUUCAGGCACUAAUUAAUUAACGUUGCUGUACAACAAGAAGUAGUAUGUGCCAAAAGAAAUCAAUGCAGGAACAAGAAACAGCAUCCUCUUAGGCAUGAUCUGGAGGCCCUGAAUAUCAGACCCUUCUUCAAUGAUUGGCUCCAACCUUGGAAAGCGAAAGGAACAUUUUUUAUGAGGAGUUAUGAGGAGAGCCGGUGCAACUUCUCCAUAGUACCUUUGGAUGCCUCUGACUUCCUUCACCAUAUCCUUCUUCAAACCAACACUUUAAUUUGAGAAAUUUGAGAAACAAUAAUAAUAAUAAUAAUUGUUAUAACCAAAUUAACCCUUUGAUUUCCUUGACCUUUUUCUUUGAUCAAAGAAACUCAACCUUUAGAAGAUGAUGAAAAUCGGUUGGGGUUGGAAGAAUGGGGUAGUGCAACCAUAUAUACAUUGGGGGAGUCAACUAACGAAGGUGGUGGAGAUGGCUAAGGUGUUAG